AGUAUGUUAGGCCGCAAGGUGGGACUGUCGCGCGUGUUUUUGUGUUGAUUGCUAUGAUGUGUAGUGUACAGUUUAUUGCUGUUCUUAUUGUUAUCAUCCUUAGUUCUGACAGAGCAAGAUGGUAGAUGUAACAGCUCUUUCAAAUUAUGAACUUCGUGACAAUCUUACUGAAUUAGGAUUUCAACCAGGUCCGAUAACUGAAACAACAAGAAGGGUGUAUGAAUUAAAGUAUCUGCAAAUGAUUGGGGAAGUUGACAGUUCAGAUUCAGACGGAGGUAUAGACUUAGCCAGUGCUCGACCCGUCAGAUUAACCUCUCCCGUAAAGCGCACCAACAUUCCACACCCAACACCUGAACCAGCUUCAGCCUCAUCCUCAGCCUCUGAUUCCGAGCAGGUUCAGGUGACACCAGCUGAGCGGAGCGCUAAGUGGAAAGUGCGCAUUGCUGCUGUUUUCGCACUUGCCAUUAUUAUGUAUUUCUACUUUGGUUCAGGGUCUAAUUAAAACUUUGAGUAACUCCAUCAUUUCUUAUUUGAUGUGAUGUUUCAGUUGAGGAUAGGGGCAUAAGGUUCUGGGAAUCUUCAGUAUUUUAAACGGAGAUUUGUUAUGUCUUGCAUGAGAAAUCUGCGCCAAUCAAUCGAAGAUUUCGAAGGAUUUUUGAUUAUUUUCAGCGCGUAAUCAUGAUGAGCAAGUGACUGUAAAACUUUUGUGAAUCUUGGUAUGGUACCAACUAACACCGAGUUCAUGAAUAAAAAAGAACUUGCCAUCAUGGAUAUUUUAAAUUCUCUAUUAUCAUUGUAUGAGCAUUGCUAAACUGUAAACAUUUGUAAAUCUUUAUUCUCUGUAGCAUUUUCAACCUCAUUAUGUUACUAUCACCAAGUUGGUAGUGCUUGUUGUAACUUCUUUAGAACAUAAUGAAUGUGUUGCUCCUUUUAGAUCCAAUUACUAAUCAUAAUAUUCUUGCCUCAUUGAUAGCGAUAUCAAAUCAUAGAAAUGAUUUUAAUUUAUCAUAUUUUUCACAUUUACUUGUCUGUAAAUUUUUAACUACAAAGUUUAAUGCAUAGCAAAACAGUUUUUGACAUAAGUUUUUGCAAAGAUGCAUAAAUACACCGUGUUAUAUUAUCGAUACUUUUAUACUUGUUGAAUGUGAUAAUGUACUUGCUCUAAUUUUGAUUACCAAUAUAAAUAUCGUUAUCAAAACACCAA